UGAGGAAUAUUGGGCAAUGGGCGCAAGCCUGACCCAGCCAUGCCGCGUGAAGGAUGAAUGCCCUAUGGGUUGUAAACUUCUUUUGUACGGGACGAAACUCUUGGUCGUGACCAGGAUUGACUGUACCGUGCGAAUAAGCAUCGGCUAACUCCGUGCCAGCAGCCGCGGUAAUACGGAGGAUGCAAGCGUUAUCCGGAUUCAUUGGGUUUAAAGGGUGCGUAGGCGGAAUAAUAAGUCAGUGGUGAAAGCCUGCGGCUUAACCGUAGAAUUGCCAUUGAUACUGUUAUUCUUGAGUAUAGUUGAGGUGGGCGGAAUGUGUAAUGUAGCGGUGAAAUGCUUAGAUAUUACACAGAACACCAAUUGCGAAGGCAGCUCACUAAGCUGUUACUGACGCUGAGGCACGAAAGCGUGGGGAGCAAACAGG
rnacentral:rRNA from 1 species